GCAGCUUCUGCAUACCGAAUGUACAGCAUAAACCAAUUUUCAGUCCCCUCCUGCAAAACAGCAGGUCAAGACACGCUGGCCAAACCCGUCAGGGGUCAGCCUGGGGUGGGAGGGUUCUGCACUGCUCCCCAAUAGCUGUCAUUUCUGACCAGUUUUGACUUGAGUAUUACUGGUUGGGUUUCCAGUUCUUUGCAAACAGGAAGACGGAAAUAAAGGCAUUACCUUCCAAAGAAUACUUUUAACACCCUGCUAAUUAAAUAGUCAGCAAUAAAAAAGCAAGCUGUCUCUUUAAGCGUUUUCGGUCCAGUGAAUUCCUUCUCCACCCCUGGGCCCUUCCUUGAUCCUGAGGGAACCCGCUUCCAGCCUGCAGUGUGCCGGGCUGGGUGAGAGUCUGGGAAGCCUGGCAAAACUGUGGCAGCCAGCAGAUUUUCAUCUCUGUGCUGACUGAGCGACGGAGAGGGCCGAAUGUGUAAUUUAUGCUGGGGAGGACUGCUAUGCUCGGUCUCUGCCGUGCGAGGAAGCAGGCUGAGAAGUAUGGAACUUGCCGUGGGCGCAAGUGCAGUCACACCAGGCUGACACCAGUGCUGAGGGGGCCAGGGGUCCAAAGCCUGAGCCACAGCUACCAGGCUCUGUCCCCUCACCACAUGUGAACUAGAGCAGGCGAAGGCAGCCAGCUGGGAGCCACGCACCCUGAUUUUCUUGCAUUCAGCUCGAGGCCCCCACCCCCUUCAGUGCAGCAGUGGCCUGCAGAGCCGGACACGGCGCCCACCCACCGUGUUGAUCUUCCUGGGCAGCGGCACAGGCGUCUCAGGCAGAGUGGGCGUGAGGUCGUUGGAGUCUUCUGACACCUGCUUCUGGAUGGCGUCUCUGGACUGCAUGUUUGGGGACAGAUCCACUGGGUGUGACUUCUGCAUGGCCCUCGGAGGGCUGCAGAGCCUUGGAUCUGCAGGAGGACUUAUGAAGGCACAGAAUGGGGUGAGAGGUGAGAAGAACCUGUCGUGAAGAAAGUGAGGCCUCCUGUGAGGCAGACGCACUGAAGGGCGCGCUCCUGGUCCUGUCUGCACUGUCUCGGUGUCGAGCUCCUGUCUGGUCUACUCACUUUGUAAGACCAAACUCACUCCACCUCCUCAGAUGGCCUGCCACCUCCUUCUUAAAGGCUGGCAUGGGGCCGGGGCCGGGCCGGACUAGCAGUCAGCACAGAGCAGAGACACCUGAGUCCAGAGACAGGAAUUGUGGGAGGACCCAUCACCCAUGCAAAGUUCAAAACAUGACAGAUACACUUCCUCCCUGUGGUGAGGCAGGUCCUGGG
rnacentral:lncRNA from 1 species